GGCAGAUCAACGGCAGUUGAUGCAUGUGCUAACGAAAUGAUUGAUCCCACGGACGCCGUCCGGUCACGCUCGUCGCUUCCCUCAGGCCUCAGGCUGGCCAAUCGUCCUCCCAGUAAAACCAGCAGGAGCAUGUUGGAUCAAAGAGCUUCUCGGCUCUUAGAUGUGACAAGAAACAUCACGUUUUGUAGAAAAAUCGACUUAUUAUUUGACACUUGAUUGUUGGGCGUUGGGGUCUCAAUGGGGGUUUGAUUUAAGACCAAAACGAGCGGAAAAAGUCUUUCACCAGCAGAUGUGAAAAGAACCAAAGAUCCAUCUGCGGCACCAUCUUCUAAUGUCUCCAACAAGUCCAACGACUG
ensembl:lncRNA